rnacentral:rRNA from 1 species
UACAGAGGUCCCGUGCGUUGUUCGGAUUCAUUGGGCGUAAAGGGUGCGUAGGCGGUGGGGUAAGUUGGAUGUGAAAUCUUGGGGCUUAACCUCAAAAUUGCAUUCAAUACUGCUCCGCUCGAGUUCUGUAGAGGAGAUUGGAAUUUACGGUGUAGCAGUGAAAUGCGUAGAUAUCGUAAGGAACGCCAGUGGCGAAAGCGAAUCUCUGGGCAGCAACUGACGCUGAGGCACGAAGGCCAGGGGAGCAAACGGG